ensembl:lncRNA
UUGAUUUUUUUCUGAAUGUUCUGAAGAAACAUUUUCAACAUUUCUUUUAUUCCACCAAAAAUGUUCAGAUUUCCCAAAAAUGUUGAAAAUGUGGACAUCAGAAGUUUCACUGUGAAAAUAUAUUUUCAAACUUUAAAACGGGUCGAUUUGACUCACAAAAUGACACGAGGGUUAAAUAUUAACAGUAAAAUCUAAAUAUCUGAUGACCACAGUGGAUGAAUAGUCCUGACAGUGAAGCGGACGAUGCAUCCACUGUGGUCGUCCUUGGCAGGUUCACACCAAACAUGCGGGACUCCAGACAAAUUUAUCUUCAUCUGACCAAAGAAUGUUCUCCAGCAUUCAUCAGGGCUUCUUUUCAUGUUCUUUAGUUUCAUCUGGAAGUUUAGCUCUGAGCAGCAACCAGGUUUUGUUCUUGUCCUCUGUCUAUAGAGGUUGAUGUUCUUCACUGUCAGAUCUUCACACUAACUCUGGUUUCCACUGAUAACUCCUGGACCAAGUCUGAAGCAGCUGUGGUUUGGUUUUUACAGCUAGAUUGUGAAAGUAGUUCACUGUCUUGACCACUGCAGGCAUGAUUAGUGGUACUACGACUCCUUCUAUACCUCUUGGUUAUCGCUGCAGCUGUGUUACUGAUUUUUAGUUGAUCUUCUUGGAUCCUUUUCCGUGUUUUUUGGAAGUCUUUACAGAUUUUUAAGCCGCUCUCUUCGAUUCUUUUCCAUGUGGAGCCACGAUGUAGGCAUAGAUAGACAGUCCAUAAGUCAAAAAAUAAGAAAGUUCUGAUGUGCAGUUUGACCAGCUGAAAAUCGCAGUUUAGUUUCGGUGAUCACAGGUUUUCUGACUUUUGUUGCAGUGAGCUUCACUGUCAGGACUAUUCAUCCACUGUGGUCGUCCUGGUCAGGUUCAAACAUGCUGGACUCCCCACAAAUUUAUCUUCAUGUCACCAAAGAAUGUUCUCCAACAUUCAUCAGGUUCAGCAUGAAGUUUAGCAUUUCAGUUGGUAACAUGUUAAAUGGUUGACUGUAGAGAACGAGGAAGUCAAACUGUCUUCUGGGCUAAUAUUGGCAAUGAACUGUGGAAAAAUCGUUAGCGGAAUAUUACUCGAUCCGACCUUGCGACUUUUAUGUCAUUUUCAGAUAGAUGCCGUCAGUUUAACAGGAAGUCAUCUGAAAGGGGCUUUAUCGGUCCAGUUGGCUCUUUUUAACUGAUGGGUGUAUAAAGCAUUCAGGUAUGGGGGACUGAACUCGAGUCGGUUGCCUGUACUCUUGUCAUUUUGUGGUAUUUGACAUGCUAACACUUUAGCGCAUGCUAAGUCGAGUGGCUAGAAAGCUAACAUGCUAAACUGUUAGCAUGGAGUGCCAUUAUUCUCGUUAGUUGAGGACGAAUUUAAAUGCCAGUGUUUCUGACCAACUAGAGGGGGUGGGGCUUAAAGCAGGAGCCCCGCCCCUUUUCUAUGAGAGGCGUGGCUUGAGAAGCGGCCGCCACAGGAAGCCUCUGAGUAACUGUUUGUAACGUGAGCGUGAUGAGAGGCGGUGACCUCUGUGAGUACUGCUGUGUUGUACUGUGGGGAGUACUGCUGUCAGUAUUCUGGUCCUCCUCCUGGUCAUGUAGCAUGUUGAUGUUUCCGUCAGUCUGACCUCCAGGAGGCGCUGCCACAGUUUGCAUGCCGAGCAGAAGCUUCCGGGUCGCAGGUCUGUUUGCAGCUCGGCGAAGCGACAGCGACGUCCAGUACAUAAAGUUUAAACUUCAAGCGCUGUGGAUGCACAUUACUGCCCCUAGUGGUCGGAGUUGGGAAAACACCCACUGCUGCUGUUGUAAACAAGCCAAAAUGUGCUAUUUAUCAGUGUCUUACAAGAAAAAGACUUCGAAUUUAGCACUUCUAAACAGUAUAUAAACAUUUAAUUGAUAGUUUGUGAAACUAUAGUGCAAUUAUUAAGUGCUCAUUUAUCUUUUAAUGCAGCAAUGAGCCCCUUCGACUAUGUUUAUCAGUGCUUUGUUAAUGGAUAUUUAAGAAACAAGACUCCAAACAUUUAAUUAAACCUCCUGUUGUCUUCAUUUACGGGCACCAAAAAAUAUUGUUUCCUUGUCUGAAAAAAAUUCAACAAAAAAAUUCCCAUAAUUUAUGAAAAUUUGCAAAAACCUUCAGGAAGAAAAUUCCAAUAAUUCCUUAAAAGUUUCCCUUAAAAGUUUUCUUUAAAAAAAAAAAAAAAAAAAUCCCCCAAAUUUGGCAAGAAAAUUCUUGUAAAUAUUUUCAAAAAAUGAAUAUUUUCUUUAAGAACAUUCACAUAAAAAUCAACCAAAAUCCAGUGAAAUUUGCUGGAUUUUGGUGGAUUUUUUUGAGAAUGUUCUUAAGAAACAUUUUUAACAUUUCUUUUUUUCCACCAAAAAAAUGUUCAAAUGUGGACAUCAGAAGUUUCACUGUGAAAACUUUUUUUCCCCCCCACAUUUUCAAACUUUAAAACGGACGACACGAGGUUUAAUAGUUUAAAAAACACUGUAAACUAAUUGUAAAGCGACAUGAGGACAUUAUUAAGCGUUUAUAGGUCGGUUAAAACAUAUAUUUAGCUUCAACGUUAACUGUUGACCCUGAAAAUUACUCUGAUUGUAUAAAUAGGUCAUUAAUAAAUACAGUUAUGAUAAUAAUAGUGAAUUUAUAUUGGUAAUAAAUAGAUGUUUUGUAAUGUAUAUUCAAUUAAAAUAUGUAAUUCUGUGGAUUAUAGUUGUUCAGUUGCAGAUAAACACUUAGAAAUGUCCUCAUAUCUCUUUAGAAUUACAUUAAAUUGAAUGAUUGAGUGUUUAAAUGGAGCUCAGACCAAUUUCUCGAGGUUUUUCUUGUUGUUCAGCUGACCCGACGCUGCGUUCAGACCUGUCCGACCUCCAACAAAUACUGAGGCUGCAGCAGCAUUCGUCAUUUUGUGUCACUUUGUGUUUUAUUUUUAACAGAGCCAACGGCGUCCAUGUGCUUCAGAAGAUGUAAAAUGUGAUUUUCUCUGAUGUCAAAGUUGUUUUAGCCAUUUGAAGACAUUCGUAAUGACGCGCUUGAACAGAAGCAGUCGAGAGAAGAAUGAAAAAAGCAAACCUGGCCUUAAUUUCACUGUAAAGUCGGUGCGAUUGUUGGUUUGUCUUCUUCGGAAAGUUCAGCUGAAGCAUACGGAGGCCUUCCAGGUUGUUCUAGCAGGUCACACACUGCUUUAAGUUCCCAUAUUUAGCAUUAAAAGCAUUUAUCAACACGCUAUAAUGUUGUUUUGAGCAGAUGUGAGUCUUUAUGUGAAUUUAUUUGUUUUAUAUUCUCACGUAAACGUCCUCAUUCCUGCUCACAGCUACAUUAUAAUGUGUUACAGGACUUAUGUUUCAUGUUUAUACGUACUACUUAACCCUCCUGUUGUCCUCAUUUACGGGCACCAAAAAAUAUUGUUUCUUUGUCUGAAAAAAUCCAAAAAUUCAGCAAAAAAAUUCCCCAAAUUUCUGAAAAUUUGCUAAACUUUCAGGAAGAGAAUUCCAAAUAAUUCCUUAAAAGUUUCCCGUAAAAGUUUUGUUUUAAAAAAAAAAAAAAAAAAAAAGAAAUCCCCCAAAUUUGGCAAGAAAAUUCUUGUAAAUAUUUUCAAAAAAUGAGUAAAAACCUUCCAAAAAAGCCUAAAAAUAUCUAAAGUGAUUCCAUAUAUAUCAAUAAAACUUCUAAUAUUUUCUCUAAGAACAUUCAGGAAAAAAAAUCAAC